UCCCAGAUGAGCAUCAGUGGUCCUGUUUGCGGGCUUCAAACCCGUAGAUGACGAUAGUCAGAGUGGUUCGAUUCACCGUCUGGGCG